rnacentral:rRNA from 1 species
GACGAACCGUGCGAACGUUGUUCGGAAUCACUGGGCAUAAAGGGCGCGUAGGCGGCCUGUCAAGUCAGGGGUGAAAUCCGGCAGCUCAACUGUCGAAGUGCCUUUGAUACUGACGGGCUCGAGGGAGGUAGGGGUCGCUGGAACUUCCGGUGGAGCGGUGAAAUGCGUUGAUAUCGGAAGGAACGCCGGUGGCGAAAGCGAGCGACUGGACCUCUUCUGACGCUGAGGCGCGAAAGCUAGGGGAGCAAACGGG